rnacentral:rRNA from 1 species
AUACGGAGGGGGCCAGCGUUGUUCGGAAUUAUUGGGCGUAAAGGGCGCGCAGGCGGUUUCGUUAGUCAGGCGUGAAAUCCCCGGGCUCAACCCGGGAACUGCGUUUGAUACUGCGGAACUAGAGAUCGGGAGAGGGUAGUGGAAUUCCCAGUGUAGAGGUGAAAUUCGUAGAUAUUCGGAAGAACACCAGUGGCGAAGGCGGCUACCUGGACCGAUACUGACGCUGAGGCGCGAAAGCGUGGGGAGCAAACAGGAUUAGAAACCCUAGUAGUCC